UACGUAGGGGGCGAGCGUUGUCCGGAUUUAUUGGGCGUAAAGAGCGUGUAGGCGGUUCGGUAAGUCUGUCGUGAAAUCCUGAGGCUCAACCUCGGGCGUGCGAUGGAUACUGCCGGGCUAGAGGAUGGUAGAGGCGAGUGGAAUUCCCGGUGUAGCGGUGAAAUGCGCAGAUAUCGGGAGGAACACCAAUUGCGAAGGCAGCUCGCUGGGACGUCACUGACGCUGAGACGCGAAAGCGUGGGGAGCGAACAGG
rnacentral:rRNA from 1 species